AAGCAGUUGACUCUGGUGUAGUCUCAUGUGA
rnacentral:piRNA from 1 species